rnacentral:rRNA from 1 species
AUUGAACGCUGGCGGCAUGCUUUACACAUGCAAGUCGAACGGCAGCACGGGAGCAAUCCUGGUGGCGAGUGGCGAACGGGUGAGUAAUAUAUCGGAACGUGCCCAGUCGGGGGGGAUAACGCAGCGAAAGCUGUGCUAAUACCGAAUACGCUCGAUGGAUGAAAGCGGGGGACUGUAAGGCCUCGCGCGAUUGGAGCGGCCGAUAUCAGAUUAGGUAGUUGGUGGGGUAAAGGCCUACCAAGCCGACGAUCUGUAGCUGGUCUGAGAGGACGACCAGCCACACUGGGACUGAGACACGGCCCAGACUCCUACGGGAGGCAGCAGUGGGGAAUGUUGGACAAUGGGCGCAAGCCUGAUCCAGCAAUGCCGCGUGCAGGAUGAAGGCCUUCGGGUUGUAAACUGCUUUUGUACGGAGCGAAAAGGCUCUCUCUAAUACGGGGAGUUGAUGACGGUACCGUAAGAAUAAGCACCGGCUAACUACGUGCCAGCAGCCGCCGUAAAAC